UUGGUCCUGAUUCAAGGCCAGCAGUUUGCUGAAGCUGUUGGUUUCAAGCAGAAGACUAACUAAUUGUCUUUCUAUGGUCUGUUGGCCAUCUUAUAACUUUGGAAAUGUAAUGGCCAGUUCAUUUGAAAGAAACAUCU
rnacentral:snoRNA from 1 species